rnacentral:sRNA from 2 species
GAGAACGUUGCGUCAGCAACGGCCCGCAGGGCGAGUCACGCAGUGGCGAGUCAUCCUCUAUCACCGACCA